GAUGAACGCUGGCGGCGUGCCUAAUACAUGCAAGUCGUGCGGAAAGGCCACUUCGGUGGUACUCGAGCGGCGGACGGCAGAGUAACGCGUAGGAACAUACCCCAAACUGAGGGAUAACUGCUCGAAGAGUAGCUAAUACCGCAUGUGAUCUUCGGAUUAAAGCUUCGGCGGUUUGGGAAUGGCCUGCGUCCGAUUAGCUUGUUGGUGAGGUAAUAGCUCACCAAGGCGACGAUCGGUAGCUGGUCUGAGAGGAUGAUCAGCCUGACUGGAACUGAGAACGGUCCAGACUCCUACGGGAGGCAGCAGUAGGGAAUUUUCCACAAUGGGCGAAAGCCUGAUGGAGCAACGCCGCGUGCAGGAUGAAUGCCUUCAGGUUGUAAACUGCUUUAUUAGUGAAGAAUAUGACGGUAACUAAUAGAAUAAGGGUACGGCUAACUACGUGCCAGCAGCCGCGGU
rnacentral:rRNA from 1 species